UUAGAGGUGAAAUUCUCGGAUUUAUGGAAGAUGAACAAGUGCGAAAGCAUUUACCAAGGAUGUUUUCAUUAAUCAAGAACGAAAGCUAGGGGAUCGAAGAGGAUUAGAUACCCUCGUAGUCUUAGCUAUAAACGAUACCGACUAGGGGUUAGUAGAGGUCAAAGUGUCUUUAUUAGUACCUUAUGAGAAAUCAAAGUCUUUGGGUUCCGGGGGGAGUAUGGUCGCAAGGCUGAAACUUAAAGGAAUUGACGGAAGGGCACCACCAGGAGUGGAGCCUGCGGCUUAAUUUGACUCAACACGGGGAAACUUACCAGGGCCAGAUAGCAAGGGGAUUGACAGAUUGAGAGCUCUUUCAUGAUAUGGUAGGUGGUGGUGCAUGGUCGUUCUUAGUUGGUGGUGUGAAUUGUCUGGUUAAUUCCGAUAACGAACGAGACCUUGGCUUACUAAGUAGAUGGCAGUGAUGGGACUUGUGUGUUGUGUUUGGUUGUUUGUUUGCUGUGGCUUUUCGGAGUUGUGGUGGAUGAUGGUCAAGGACAAGCACAAGAGGAUGACAGUGGAUUUCUUAGAAGGACUUUUGAUAGGACAGGAAUUGAAGGAAGGUAGAGGCAAUAACAGGUCUGUGAUGCCCUUAGAUGUCCGGGGCCGCACGCGCGCUACACUGAAGGAAGCAGCGUGUCUUUAUCCCUGUCUGAAAAGACUGGGUAACCCGUGGAACUUCUUUCGUGAUUGGGAUAGGGGCUUGCAAUUGUUCCCCUUGAACGAGGAAUUCCCAGUAAGCGCGAGUCAUAAGCUCGCGUUGAUUACGUCCCUGCCCUUUGUACACACCGCCCGUCGCUCCUACCGAUUGGGUAAUGCGGUGAAAAUAGUGGAUGUUGCUUUGUGGUUCAUGCACAGGACAGCAGAAAGUAUUUGAACCUUAAUAUCUAGAGGAAGGAGAAGUCGUAACAAGGUAUCCGUAGGUGAACCUGCGGAUG
rnacentral:rRNA from 1 species